ACAUUUUCUGUCGCAAAAUUUCAGAACACAAAACCUCCCCCCCUGCUUUUCACGAUAGAAACAGGAAAACAAAGGGGGAGAGAGAGAAAGAAAGAAAGGGAGAAAGAGAGAGAAAGAAAGAAAGAAAGGGAGAAAGAGAGAGAAAGUUCCCGCCGACACCGGAGCUGAGGGUCACCAGUCGCCACCGGAUCCACCGUCAGCAGCCCUCCCGUUGUUCUCCCCGGCCGAUAAGUUAUGUUUUUGUUUUUUUUUUAAAAUUAAAAUCGCCACCACUAACACCGGUCGGUGUGAACAGCCACCACCGGUGUAGCAGCCGCAGUUCCCAUCGGUGUUGUUCCCGUCGCCGGCAUUCCAAAAAGUCGGCCGGCCGCCGGUGAGUUGUUUUUUUUUUUUAUUUCUGUUUUUUUUUAAUCCUAACCACCACCCCCCCCCCUUUUUCAGGUCCCUCCACCUUCCUUGCUCCGACCAGAACCACCACCACCUUCAUCCUCCCGCCGUGUUGCCGCCGAAUUUGUGUCUUUUCCUUGCUUUCAAUCUCAAUAAAAAGUGCAGAUCUACAGGAGAACUACCAGAAGAAUGUUGAAGAAGCCACCACUCAAGGGAUUAAAAAGAGUCCUAAUGAGUUGUAUUGGGAGAGUGUGGGUGGUCGCAACAAGAAGGGUCGGGUGAGGGGACUUGGCCAAAGUGCAGAGAUGUACUAUGGCAACUGGAUGGGUCGAGUUUCUAGGUCUUCAUAGCAGUACCUACUGUCCGUUGUUUCUCAUAUUCAGGAUCAGAUGGAGCAUAGGGUGGAGGCUCUUCGUAGUGAAAUCCGGAGUGAAAUUUGGAGUGAAAUUUGGAGUGAAAUUUGGAGUUAAAUGGAAGUUGAAAUGCAAACCCGAAUUCAAGCUGAAUUGGCCAAAACGGAGAGGAGAUCCGAGGAUAGGUGGAAUGAUUUCAUGAGUCGAUUCGUAAACAGCGACACAUGUUCCACCUUUCAGCCUCAUCGUCGAGACCCCAGGGAUAACCCAGGUAGUGGAGGAGCAAGCCAGGGUACCCUGACAAUUGUAUAGCAUAGCUUUAGUUUAUGUAGUAUGGACAUGUACUUAACUUGAAUUUAUGUAGCAUUUGAUUAUGUUUCAGCUUUUGUAGAAUUACUAUAUAUUA